AAACUUAAAGGAAUUGACGGAAAGGCACCACCAGGCGUGGAGCUUGCGGCUCAAUUUGACUCAACACGGGAAAUCUCACCAGGCCCGGACACUGGAAGGAUUGACAGAUUGAUAGCUCUUUCUUGAUUCGGUGGGUGGUGGUGCAUGGCCGUUCUUAGUUGGUGGAGUGAUUUGUCUGGUUAAUUCCGAUAACGAACGAGACUCUGUCCUGCUAAAUAGUGUCUGCUUCUCUUUUGAGCAGACAAUUCUUCUUAGAGGGACUGGCGACUCUUAGUCGCACGAGAUUGAGCAAUAACAGGUCUGUGAUGCCCUUAG
rnacentral:rRNA from 1 species